rnacentral:rRNA from 1 species
ACGAACGCUGGCGGCGUGCUUAACACAUGCAAGUCGAACGGAAAGGCCCUGCUUUUGUGGGGUGCUCGAGUGGCGAACGGGUGAGUAACACGUGAGUAACCUGCCCUUGACUUUGGGAUAACUUCAGGAAACUGGGGCUAAUACCGGAUAGGAGCUCCUGCUGCAUGGUGGGGGUUGGAAAGUUUCGGCGGUUGGGGAUGGACUCGCGGCUUAUCAGCUUGUUGGUGGGGUAGUGGCUUACCAAGGCUUUGACGGGUAGCCGGCCUGAGAGGGUGACCGGCCACAUUGGGACUGAGAUACGGCCCAGACUCCUACGGGAGGCAGCAGUGGGGAAUAUUGCACAAUGGGCGGAAGCCUGCUGCAGCAACGCCGCGUGCGGGAUGACGGCCUUCGGGUUGUAAACCGCUUUCGCCUGUGACGAAGCGUGAGUGACGGUAAUGGGUAAAGAAGCACCGGCUAACUACGUG